rnacentral:rRNA from 1 species
UACGUAGGGUGCAAGCGUUGUCCGGAAUUAUUGGGCGUAAAGAGCUCGUAGGCGGUUUGUCGCGUCUGCUGUGAAAACUCGGGGCUUAACUCCGGGCCUGCAGUGGGUACGGGCAGACUAGAGUGCGGUAGGGGAGACUGGAAUUCCUGGUGUAGCGGUGAAAUGCGCAGAUAUCAGGAGGAACACCGGUGGCGAAGGCGGGUCUCUGGGCCUUACCUGACGCUCAGGCGCGAAAGCUAGGGGAGCGAACUGG